GCCAGUAGUCAUAUGCUUGUCUCAAAGAUUAAGCCAUGCAAGUCUAAGUACGAGCUCUCGUACAGUGAAACUGCGAAUGGCUCAUUAAAUCAGUUAUGGUUCAUUUGAUCGGACAGUUUACUUGGAUAACUGUGGUAAUUCUAGAGCUAAUACAUGCGAGAAGCGCCGACCUCGCGGGAGGCGUGCAUUUAUCAGACCAAAAACCGGCCGCGUCUUCGCGCGCGUUCGCCUUGGUGACUCUGGAUAACUUUGCGGAUCGCACGGUCUAGCACCGGCGACGGAUCAUUCAAGUGUCUGCCCUAUCAACUUUCGUCGGUACGGUAUUUGCCUACCGAGGUUCUUACGGGUGACGGGGAAUCAGGGUUCGAUUCCGGAGAGGGAGCCUGAGAAACGGCUACCACAUCCAAGGAAGGCAGCAGGCGCGCAAAUUACCCAUUCCCGACGCGGGGAGGUAGUGACGAAAAAUAACAAUGCAGGACUCGUUCGAGGCCCUGUAAUUGGAAUGAGUACACUUUAAAAGCUUUAACGAGUAUCCAUUGGAGGGCAAGUCUGGUGCCAGCAGCCGCGGUAAUUCCAGCUCCAAAAGUAUAUAUUUAAGUUGUUGCGGUUAAAAAGCUCGUAGUUGGAUUUUGGGCGCAGGCGGCCGGUCCGUCGCAAGGCGUGUACUGGACGUCCUGGCCUUCCCUCCGGUUCUCCGCCGGUGCUCUUGACUGAGUGUCGGCGGCGGCCGGAACGUUUACUUUGAAAAAAUUAGAGUGUUCAAAGCAGGCUCUCGAGCCUGGAUAAUGGUGCAUGGAAUAAUGGAAUAGGACCUCGGUUCUAUUUUGUUGGUUUUCGGAGCGCGAGGUAAUGAUUAAGAGGGACAGACGGGGGCAUUCGUACUGUGCCGUUAGAGGUGAAAUUCUUGGAUCGGCGCAAGA
rnacentral:ncRNA from 1 species